rnacentral:lncRNA from 1 species
CAUCAUGAUACCAUAUUAUAUCGAUUCUGUGGACAACGAUACGAUAUUUGAUGAUCAAAAUCGAUGAUACUAUAUAUAUCAUAUGUCGUUUGAACACAGUAACAGAAGCUGCCACCACUUUCUUUUCUAUUUUUGUUCAUAAAUUAACAAAACACAUAAAUAUGGUUGACCGGUUAUGUCCAGUAACAACAGUUUUUUUUUUUGGCCUCAAGUGACGCUGAGCAGCGGUCAUAGAAAUUAAAUGGCUUGGACUGGUGAUUUAGACAUGCCAUGGGAAUGUGAAAAUAAAGGCGAAUGAUAGAAUCGAUGUUUUCCCUUUCGCGAAUUUGCAUCGAUUAUAUUGGAUUGUUGAUCACUGAAUCGAUAUAUAUCAAUCCAGAUCAUUGGAUCGUGACACCCCUACCGUACAUCCUGAAUACUGUAGCCCCACAGGCACUUUCCCUGGCCCUGAUGACCUCAUGUAACCCCCACUUUGCACAUCCCUGCCUCGUUACGCUGUAUCCUAUCCCCACAGACCCACCUGAUGGUUCCCCCUCCUGUUCUGUGGAGCCGGCUCUGAAUCACACCUCUCUGAAACUGCUCUGCUCCUGGACCGGUGGAUUCCCCUCCCCCUCCCUCCACUGGACCGGAGACCUGAAAACAUUGGGACACACGGAGGCUGACACAGGGACGCAGACAAAUCAACUAACCAACACUACUGUCUUGCUGUCGACUGAAGGCAUGGCCUCCAACGACAGCUCGUUUUCAUGCAUGGGCUCACACCUGGCACUGACACAAUCAAGAGUGUGCAGCACGCGAACAUAUAUCCCCCCUGCCGAACCAGUGUGUUUAGCCUAUGUGACUAACAACAAACAGUAUCUGAUGCUGUCCUGCUCCUGGGAUGGAGGAUCUCCAAACGCCUUGGUGUGGUGGGAGGGCCCGGGUGACCAGGGCAAAGUUGGGAAAGAAAGCUCCAACGUCCUAGUCCUUCGUUACGGCACCGCCCGCGGUGGGAAACCCUACACCUGCCACGCUAAGCAUCCCCUUCUGAUCCAAACCAAAACCUGCAGGCUCACUCUGGAGGCUCCUGUGUUGCUGACACAGCGCAGAGUUGUGUCUGUGUAUGAGGGAAGUGAUGUCCAGCUCACCUGCAACCUGAGAUCCAACUACCUUCCCACCAAUCAAAUCACCUGGUUUAACAAUCGUGGCUUGGACGUCAAAGGCACAUCGAAGUACACACUGCUGCGAACAUCUGCAUGGGCCAAUCUGACUGUGAGAGACACACAUGAGGCUCAAGACAGCGGCGAGUACAGGUGCACCACCUCCAACGCAGUGGGAGGAACGGAAGUCAAUGUCACCUUACUGGUCAAGAGGCACCCCAUGCCGCCCAAUGCGACCCUAGUCAAAGUGAUGUACAACAGCCGAAAGCGGAACGAGGUGGAGCUUGAGUGGCAGGUAGAGAGCGAAGAAGAAAGAGGUUGGACGGGUUUCAUCCUGGAGCACAUCUGGGUGCCAGAGCGACCAGGAAGGAGAGGCAGGAAUGAUACAAAGGAGGACACAGAUGAUAGAAUCGGCCCCCCAGUCUGGUACCCUAGCAUCAUCCAGGACCCAGAAGUCAGGAGUCAUACAGUAGGAAGACUGACGCCAACCGUUACCUACCAGUUCCGCAUCACACCUGUCAACCACCGCACCCUAGGACACCCUUCUGCACCAAAGACUCCAGCGGAACCACGCUACAACGUGUACCCUGCUGUGAUUGGAGCAGCUAUAGGUGGGAUGCUCUUCGCAGCCAUCGUCACGGCGCUGCUGCUCCUGUUCAUAAUCCGCAACCGCAACAACAAUCCUCGACUACAUGAUAUGCUGUUUGGGUCGCAGCACAGCCAGUCAAGGGAAAACAUCAACUUGCCGGAGGAUGAAGUGGUUGGCGGGUCUGAGGGAGGAAUAGAGGAGAUCGGUGGAUUAGCCAGUCCAGGUCCAACCUUGGCUCUACCCCGGGCGUCUUCACCCCUCACCACCUCACCCCUGAGUGCCACCCCCACCACGAGCCAAGCGCCUCCCCCUGGAGACGACAACGAACCUGUCAGCGUCACCAUCACCGUCAAGGCUACAGGCUCAUAGUCACAUGUCACAGACUCCUUCGGUUGUAGAUGAACGUGGAAAUAAUGUUUUUGUAGACAGCGGACAGUUUGUGCAGUCACUGACUUGGAUCAUAUCUCGACUACAUUAGCAGUUACAAUCCUGUCCCAACUUUCUCUGCAAAACUUUGGCAUAAAGUAAUGUAAAGCACAGACACAAGGGAUCAAUUCAUUUCUAGACAAAAUGAUAUGCAUGUAUACCGUUUUUUGAACAUGAAAAACCUUUUGUUUUAGCAGGCUACCUUCACAACAACCUAAUAUGCUCUUAGUAAGUACCCAGCAGAUGAUUAGGUCCAGAUGAUUUAUACAGUUUUUUUUUUGUUUAGUUUACUACACUUGGUACAUUUUGUGUUGAAACUAAUACUUUUUACACAUGAGCUAAGUGGUGUAAACAAGAGCUCAUAUGGACUGAUGAUGGUAAAUCAUUGACUGUACAGCUUUGGUGACUGAACCUGCAUCUUCAGCACUACAUGAAUCCACCAAAGGAAAAUAAAAUAAAGAAUAUUAUAAAGUGGAAGUACAUUUCUGCUGACUCACAGGAAGUUGUAGUGAACUGGCAUUGAUUGCUUUUCUUCUCUCAAUUCUGAAAUUGCCUUUUUAGGAAAAUUAUUUCUCCUUCAUUGAUUAAGGGGAUCUCAAGGUCUCCAAGUUUCGCCCCUUGGAAACAGCUGGGACAAUUGCGCCCC